rnacentral:rRNA from 1 species
UACGUAGGGGGCAAGCGUUGUCCGGAAUCAUUGGGCGUAAAGAGCGUGUAGGCGGCCAGAAAAGUCCGCUGUGAAAACUCGGGGCUUAACCCCGAGCCUGCAGUGGAUACGGGCAGACUAGAGGUAGGUAGGGGAGAAUGGAAUUCCCGGUGUAGCGGUGAAAUGCGCAGAUAUCGGGAGGAACACCGGUGGCGAAGGCGGUUCUCUGGGCCUUACCUGACGCUGAGGAGCGAAAGCGUGGGGAGCGAAACAGG